UACGUAGGUGGCAAGCGUUAUCCGGAAUUAUUGGGCGUAAAGAGCGCGCAGGUGGUUAAUUAAGUCUGAUGUGAAAGCCCACGGCUUAACCGUGGAGGGUCAUUGGAAACUGGUUGACUUGAGUGCAGAAGAGGGAAGUGGAAUUCCAUGUGUAGCGGUGAAAUGCGUAGAGAUAUGGAGGAACACCAGUGGCGAAGGCGGCUUCCUGGUCUGCAACUGACGCUGAGGCGCGAAAGCGUGGGGAGCAAACAGU
rnacentral:rRNA from 1 species